AAAAUAAAUUAAAAAGUAAAAAAGAUAAAGGUUAAAAAAUAAUAAAAUAAAUGUAAAAGGGAGAAGAUUAAAAGUUAAAAAUUAAAGCCAAAAGUGAAAUGUAGAAGUUACAAGUUAUUGUAAAUGAAAUAAAAAUAAAAUAAAAGAAAAAAAUAAAUAAAAAGAGGUACAAGCAGAAGUACCUUGACAAUGCCUAAGGAUUGAGGGAAGUACCGCCUUUUUACUCCAAAAUUUGCCAAAAAUCCAAAUUAGCUACAAAUCUAAUUUUUGUGUUGGAAAUUCAAUUUCAAGACGCUCCUGCUCUGCUAUUUCCAUGGCAAUCUAAUACCUCAGCUGCAAGCAAUGCUUC
rnacentral:lncRNA from 1 species